GCCGGGGCCACUAAGGCCACUCUCCCUGCAAACCACUUUCCCCUAACCCUCUCCCCUCCAGAGGUGAAGGCAGCACUGAGCAGAACCAACAAACGCAAGGCUGCUGGCCCCGAUGGCAUCCCCGGACGUGUACUCAAAACCUGUGCAGAGCAGCUGACCGGGGUCCUGACCAGCAUUUUCAACCUCUCUCUAGCCCAAGCAAAAGUCCCUGCGUGCUUCAAAUCCACCUAAAUUGUGCCUGUCCCUAAACACAGCUCCCCAAAGAGCCUGAAUGAUUACCGACCUGUGGCACUCACUUCCACCCUCAUGAAAUGGUUUUAGCCCACCUGAAAACCAAACUUCCACCCACACUAGACCCCUAUCAGUCGUCAGAACAGGAGCACGGACGACGCCAUCACCACAGUCCUACACCCAGUCCUUAAACAUCUGGACCUCUGUAACACCUACGUAGGGCUGCUGUUUAUUGAUUUCAGCUCGGCAUUCAAUUCAAUCAUCCCCUCCAAACUAAUCAAUAAGCUCAGUGUCCUUGGCAUCGACCCCCUCCUACGCAAUUGGAUACUGGACUUUCUGACCAACAGACCCCAGCAUGUCAGACUGGAUAAGCUCGUCUCGCAAACACUCAUCCUGAACACUGGUCUUCCUCAGGGCUGUGUGCUGAGUCCCCUCCUCUACUCCCUCUUCACACAUGACUGCAGUCCUCUUCAUGCUUCAAACACAAUCGUGAAGUUUGCAGACGAUACAACCGUGGUCGGGCUCAUCAGCAAAAACGAUGAGUCGCCAUACAGGGAAGAGGUCCGGCACCUGGCAGAGUGAUGCAUCAACAACAACCUGGCCCUCAACGCAAGCAAGACUAAAGAGAUCAUCGUGGACUUCAGAAGGAACAAAAUAAGCACACACCGCCCUGUCCAUAUCAAUGGGGAGGGGGUUGAACGUGUCACCAGCUUCAAGUUCCUUGGAGUCCACAUCUCUGAGGACCUCUCCUGGACCCCCAACAUCACAACCCUGAUCAAGAAGGCAACAAGCGCAUGUUCUUCCUCAGGAAAUUGGCUAAAGUCCAUCUAUCCCCCCAAGUGCUGCUGAACUUUUACCGCUGUACCAUCGAGAGCAUCCUCACCACCUGCAUCACAGUCUGGUAUGGCAACUGCACCAUCAAGGACCAAAAAUCACUGCAGAGGGUGGUGAAGAUCGCCCAACGCAUCACCAAGACCACUCUCCCUACCAUAACCUCAAUAUACGAGAAGAGGUGCCUCCAAAAAGCAUGCAACAUCAUAAAG
ensembl:lncRNA